rnacentral:rRNA from 1 species
UAGGGAAUCUUGCGCAAUGGGCGAAAGCCUGACGCAGCAACGCCGCGUGGGGGAUGAAGGCCUUCGGGUUGUAAACUCCUUUUAGUGGGAACGAAAUUGACGGUACCCACAGAAAAAGCCCCGGCUAACUACGUGCCAGCAGCCGCGGUGAUACGUAGGGGGCGAGCGUUGUCCGGAUUCACUGGGCGUAAAGAGCUCGUAGGCGGCUUAGUAAGUCGGCGUGUUAAAUCUCCAGGCUCAACCUGGAGUCGCACCCGAUACUGCUAUAGCUAGAGUCCGGUAGGGGACCAUGGAAUUCCUGGUGUAGCGGUGAAAUGCGCAGAUAUCAGGAGGAACACCAGUAGCGAAGGCGGUGGUCUGGGCCGGCACUGACGCUGAGGAGCGAAAGCGUGGGGAGCGAACAGGAUUAGAUACCCGCGUAGUCC